rnacentral:lncRNA from 1 species
CUGAUGCGAAAUAUGCUGAUACUUUUGUUGAAGAAAUCUGGUCCUUCUUACUGAUGUGUUGCUCUUCUUCAUGGCUCGUGAAAACUAUUAGAGUCAUCCAAGCUUCUAGCAGAGAUGGAAUAAUAGAGACCAGAUGUACCCUCCCAGCUGAAACAACAAAAAAAUACAGAACAAAAUAUAUAAAAGAAUGGUUUUCAAGGUACUAGACAUCACACAGUGAAGGACAGUGAUCCCAGAGAGAUGAGAAACAAACAAGGUGAGCCCUAUGAUUAUCCCACCUUAUUGCCUUGAAAGUUUCCAGGCCACAGCACAGGGUGAGGAACCUGAGUGAAGCCCAGCAGACUCCCUGAGUUGAAGAGAUAAAGCUGAGUCUAGGGAGACCAAAGCAGCUAGAAUUGUUAGGACAAAGUGCCACAGGAAAGAUGAAAACCUGGAGAUCUUCAUGGGGUCCCUCAUAAGUAUUCAGAAAAGUACCAAUUACUUUUGGCCCUGGAAAGAACCGAAAGCAUAAAAGGGAACAAUAUUUGAUGCUCACACAAGAUGGGGAACAGUUCAUGGGACAUUUGAGUAGAGCAUCAGCACGAUCAUUCUGCAGUAGUGGCGAAUAAUUAGCUCUAGAGUAAAUAGUGCUCUGGUUCUGCUCGAAACAAAAACAAGACCCAAAGGGAUCACAAUAUUUCCAAAUAACUUAAGUGCAUCCCAGAACAAAGCUUAAGGAAAUUUAUAGGAAUACAAAAAUAUCCAGGACCCAACAAGGUAAAAUUUACAAUGUCUAGUAGCCAAUCAAAGAUUGGCAGGCAUACAAACAGGCAGAAAGACAAUAGCCUUAAUGAGAACAAUCAACUGAAACUGUUUCAGAAUUUACACAGAUGUUAGAAUUAGCAGAGGAUGAUGGUAAACAAUUAUUGUAACUGUUUUUCAUAUGUUCAAAAUUUAAGGAGAGGCAUGAAAGGUAUUUUGAAAGACCCAACUUAAACUUCUAAAGAUAAAAACUUUAAUAUCUGAGAUGAAAAAAUACACUGGAUGGGAUUAAUGGCAGAUUAGAAGAAAAUAUUAGUGGACUUGAGGGCAUAGCAUUGGAAACUAUCCAAAAGGAAACACACAGA